rnacentral:rRNA from 1 species
GAUGAACGCUAGCUACAGGCUUAACACAUGCAAGUCGAGGGGCAACAUGGUCUUAGCUUGCUAAGGCCGAUUGCGACCGGCGCACGGGUGAGUAACACGUCUCCAACCUGCCGUCUACUCUUGGACAGCCUUCUGAAAGUAAGAUUAAUACAAGAUGGCAUCAUGAGUCCGCGUGUUCACAUGAUUCAAGGUAUUCCGGUAGACGAUGGGGAUGCGUUCCAUUAGAUAGUAGGCUGGCUUACGGCCCACCUAGUCUUCGAUGGAUAGGGGUUCUGGGAGGAAGGUCCCCCACAUUGGAACUGAGACACGGUCAAAACUCCUACGGGAGGCAGCAGUGAGGAAGAUUGGUCGAUGGGCGAGAGCCUGAACCAGCAAAGUAGCGGGAAGGAUGACUGCCGUAUGGGUUGUAAACUUCGUUUAUAAAGGAAUAAAGUCGGGUAUGGACACCCGUUUGCGGGUACUGUAUAAAUAAGGACGGGCAAACUCGGU